GUUUUAAUAGUUUAAAUAAAACAUUGGUCUUGUAAAUCAAAAAUAAAAAAAAAUUUUUUUAAAACU
rnacentral:tRNA from 1 species